UAUGUAUGUAGCCAACACUUUGCCCCAGAGGACACAACACCCAGCAGUGGACGAACCAGGAUAAAAAAGGCAGCAGUGCCAUCUAGAUUUCCCUGGAAUGACUGGGGUAAAGGAAAAGGGUCACAAGCUCGGCAGUCAGUUUACCAGAGGGCAAGAAAACGUUUAAGGUCUGCUGUCCUUGAUGAAUCUCAGGAGGUGCUUGUUCCAGGAGACAUCAUAGAGGAGGCCCUGCCUGUGGGUGGAGUGACAAAAGAUCAUGACUACGCCUACCAUCCUUCUCCUGGUAAACUGGAUGGUGCUGCACAGAGAAUCCAAGAGUUGGAGCUUCAGGUUUUGUCACUAGAGCUUGAAAUCCAGCAGCUGACCGUUAAGAAGCAGCAGCCUCUGAUUUUCAAGUUCUGCGUCACAGAUGAGGACUUUCGUUAAUACACUAGGUUCACCUCAAAGGAGGUUUUCACUGUGUUUUGGGAGUCAGUUUACCCCUCUGCUUCACACCUUUUGUACUGGUCCAAGGCACAACGAACAGCACAAGAGACACCUAGCCCUCAGCGAAAACUUCAGCUCAUUGAUGAACUGUUCAUGUUUCUCUGUCGUGUUGCAGCCGGGCUUCAGGAGAAAACCUUGUCAUCCAUCUUCGAGGUCAGCUU